CCUACGGGUGGCACCAGUGGGGAAUAUUGGACAAUGGGGGGAACCCUGAUCCAGCCAUGCCGCGUGUGUGGAGAAGGCCUUAUGGUUGUAAAGCACUUUAAGCGAGGAGGAGGCUCUUUUGGUUAAUACCCAAGAUGAGUGGACGUUACUCGCAGAAUAAGCACCGGCUAACUCUGUGCCAGCAGCCGCGGUAAUACAGAGGGUGCGAGCGUUAAUCGGAUUUACUGGGCGUAAAGCGUGCGUAGGCGGCUUUUUAAGUCGGAUGUGAAAUCCCCGAGCUUAACUUGGGAAUUGCAUUCGAUACUGGGAAGCUAGAGUAUGGGAGAGGAUGGUAGAAUUCCAGGUGUAGCGGUGAAAUGCGUAGAGAUCUGGAGGAAUACCGGUGGCGAAGGCGGCCCCCUGGACGAAGACUGACGCUCAGGUGCGAAAGCGUGGGGAGCAAACAGGAUUAGAUACCCGCGUAGUC
rnacentral:rRNA from 1 species